rnacentral:rRNA from 1 species
CGGGGUGCACCAGGCGCGAAAACUUUACAAUGCUGGCAACAGCGAUAAGGGGACCUCGAGUGCCAGGAUACAAUCUUGGCUGUCGCGAUGCCUAAAAAGCAUUGCAUAGCAAGGGCCGGGCAAGACCGGUGCCAGCCGCCGCGGUAACACCGGCGGCUCGAGUGGUAACCGCUAUUAUUGGGUCUAAAGGGUCUGUAGCCGGCCGGAUAAGUCUUUUGGGAAAUCCAGCUGCUCAACAGUUGGGCUUUCAGAAGAUACUGUUCGGCUCGAGACCGGGAGAGGUGAGAGGUACUUCAGGGGUAGGGGUGAAAUCUUGUAAUCCUUGAAGGACCACCAGUGGCGAAGGCGUCUCACCAGAACGGAUCUGACGGCAAGGGACGAAAGCUAGGGGCACGAACCGGAUUAGAUACCCGGGUAGUCCUAGCCGUAAACGAUACUCGCUAGGUGUCAGCCACGGUGCGACCGUGGUUGGUGCCGUAGGGAAGCCGUGAAGCGAGCCACCUGGGAAGUAUGGCCGCAAGGCUGAAACUUAAAGGAAUUGGCGGGGGAGCAC